rnacentral:tRNA from 1 species
UGCGGGGUGGAGCAGUGGUUAGCUCGUCGGGCUCAUAACCCGGAGGCCACAGGUUCGAAUCCUGUCCCCGCUACCA